rnacentral:rRNA from 1 species
GUGGGGAAUCUUGCGCAAUGGGCGAAAGCCUGACGCAGCCAUGCCGCGUGAAUGAUGAAGGUCUUAGGAUUGUAAAAUUCUUUCACCGGGGACGAUAAUGACGGUACCCGGAGAAGAAGCUCCGGCUAACUUCGUGCCAGCAGCCGCGGUAAUACGAAGGGGGCUAGCGUUGCUCGGAAUUACUGGGCGUAAAGGGCGCGUAGGCGGACAGCUUAGUCAGAGGUGAAAGCCCAGGGCUCAACCUUGGAAUUGCCUUUGAUACUGGCUGUCUUGAGUUUGGGAGAGGUGAGUGGAACUCCGAGUGUAGAGGUGAAAUUCGUAGAUAUUCGGAAGAACACCAGUGGCGAAGGCGACUCACUGGCCCAGCACUGACACUGAGGCACGAAAGCGUGGGGAGCAAACAGGAUUAGAUACCCCGGUAGUCC